rnacentral:rRNA from 1 species
CCUACGGGUGGCAGCAGUGGGGAAUAUUGGGCAAUGGGCGCAAGCCUGACCCAGCAAUGCCGCGUGAAGGAAGAAGGCUUUCGGGUUGUAAACUUCUUUUUUCAGGGACGAAGAAAGUGACGGUACCUGAGGAAUAAGCCACGGCUAACUACGUGCCAGCAGCCGCGGUAAUACGUAGGUGGCAAGCGUUAUCCGGAUUUACUGGGUGUAAAGGGCGUGUAGGCGGGACUGCAAGUCAGAGGUGAAAACCACGGGCUCAACCUGUGGCCUGCCUUUGAUACUGUAGUUCUUGAGUACUGGAGAGGCAGACGGAAUUCCUGGUGUAGCGGUGAAAUGCGUAGAGAUUAGGAAGAACACCAGUUGCGAAGGCGGUCUGCUGGACAGCAACUGACGCUGAGGCGCGAAAGCGUGGGGAGCAAACAGGAUUAGAUACCCUUGUAGUC